UCGGGGUGAAGCUCGUGGAACGAGCGGCGGACGGGUGAGUAACACGUGGGCAACCUACCUGUAAGAUCGGAAUAACCCCGGGAAACCGGGGCUAAUGCCGGGUAAUACUUUUCUUCGCAUGAAGGAAAGUUGAAAGAUGGCUUCUUGCUAUCACUUACAGAUGGGCCCGCGGCGCAUUAGCUAGUUGGUGAGGUAACGGCUCACCAAGGCGACGAUGCGUAGCCGACCUGAGAGGGUGAUCGGCCACACUGGGACUGAGACACGGCCCAGACUCCUACGGGAGGCAGCAGUAGGGAAUCUUCCGCAAUGGACGAAAGUCUGACGGAGCAACGCCGCGUGAACGAUGAAGGUCUUCGGAUCGUAAAGUUCUGUUGUUAGGGAAGAACAAGUACCGUGCGAAUAGAGCGGUACCUUGACGGUACCUAACGAGGAAGCCCCGGCUAACUACGUGCCAGCAGCCGCGGUAAUACGUAGGGGGCAAGCGUUGUCCGGAAUUAUUGGGCGUAAAGCGCGCGCAGGCGGUUCCUUAAGUCUGAUGUGAAAGCCCACGGCUCAACCGUGGAGGGUCAUUGGAAACUGGGGAACUUGAGGACAGAAGAGGAGAGUGGAAUUCCACGUGUAGCGGUGAAAUGCGCAGAUAUCU
rnacentral:rRNA from 1 species